rnacentral:SRP_RNA from 2 species
UGUUGGUUCUCCCGCAAUACUAACCUGUGAACCCGGUCAGGUCCGGAAGGAAGCAGCCGCAGCAGGUGACGUGUGUGCCGGGAUGUCGCUGGCAGGG